rnacentral:rRNA from 1 species
GACGAAGGAUGCAAGCGUUAUCCGGAUUCAUUGGGUUUAAAGGGAGCGUAGGUGGUCUUAUAAGUCAGUGGUGAAAUCUCUGGGCUUAACCCAGAAAUUGCCAUUGAUAACUGUAGGACUUGAGUAUAGUUGCCGUUGGCGGAAUAUGACAUGUAGUGGUGAAAUACAUAGAGAUGUCAUAGAACACCGAUUGCGAAGGCAGCUAACGAAA